rnacentral:piRNA from 6 species
CUGGGUCGGGGUUUCGUACGUAGCAG